rnacentral:rRNA from 2 species
GCAGUCGAACGAUGAUGCCCAGCUUGCUGGGUGGAUUAGUGGCGAACGGGUGAGUAACACGUGAGUAACCUGCCCCUGACUCUGGGAUAAGCGUUGGAAACGACGUCUAAUACUGGAUAUGACUGCCGGCCGCAUGGUCUGGUGGUGGAAAGAUUUUUUGGUUGGGGAUGGACUCGCGGCCUAUCAGCUUGUUGGUGAGGUAAUGGCUCACCAAGGCGACGACGGGUAGCCGGCCUGAGAGGGUGACCGGCCACACUGGGACUGAGACACGGCCCAGACUCCUACGGGAGGCAGCAGUGGGGAAUAUUGCACAAUGGGCGAAAGCCUGAUGCAGCAACGCCGCGUGAGGGAUGACGGCCUUCGGGUUGUAAACCUCUUUUAGUAGGGAAGAAGCGUAAGUGACGGUACCUGCAGAAAAAGCACCGGCUAACUACGUGCCAGCAGCCGCGGUAAUACGUAGGGUGCAAGCGUUGUCCGGAAUUAUUGGGCGUAAAGAGCUCGUAGGCGGUUUGUCGCGUCUGCUGUGAAAUCCCGAGGCUCAACCUCGGGCUUGCAGUGGGUACGGGCAGACUAGAGUGCGGUAGGGGAGAUUGGAAUUCCUGGUGUAGCGGUGGAAUGCGCAGAUAUCAGGAGGAACACCGAUGGCGAAGGCAGAUCUCUGGGCCGUAACUGACGCUGAGGAGCGAAAGCGUGGGGAGCGAACAGGAUUAGAUACCCUGGUAGUCCACGCCGUAAACGUUGGGCGCUAGAUGUAGGGACCUUUCCACGGUUUCUGUGUCGUAGCUAACGCAUUAAGCGCCCCGCCUGGGGAGUACGGCCGCAAGGCUAAAACUCAAAGGAAUUGACGGGGGCCCGCACAAGCGGCGGAGCAUGCGGAUUAAUUCGAUGCAACGCGAAGAACCUUACCAAGGCUUGACAUACACCGGAAACGGCCAGAGAUGGUUGCCCCCUUGUGGUCGGUGUACAGGUGGUGCAUGGUUGUCGUCAGCUCGUGUCGUGAGAUGUUGGGUUAAGUCCCGCAACGAGCGCAACCCUCGUUCUAUGUUGCCAGCGCGUUAUGGCGGGGACUCAUAGGAGACUGCCGGGGUCAACUCGGAGGAAGGUGGGGAUGACGUCAAAUCAUCAUGCCCCUUAUGUCUUGGGCUUCACGCAUGCUACAAUGGCCGGUACAAAGGGCUGCGAUACCGUAAGGUGGAGCGAAUCCCAAAAAGCCGGUCUCAGUUCGGAUUGAGGUCUGCAACUCGACCUCAUGAAGUCGGAGUCGCUAGUAAUCGCAGAUCAGCAACGCUGCGGUGAAUACGUUCCCGGGCCUUGUACACACCGCCCGUCAAGUCAUGAAAGUCGGUAACACCCGAAG